AUACUUCCCUGGCAAGAGAAAUACCACCAUUACAAAAGUGGUUUUGGCAGGGCAAGGCUCAUCCAUUGCACUCUGAUGUCCUGACCCCUGUGAUAUCCCCAUAUGUGGGAAACUCGACUGACUCAGAU
rnacentral:snRNA from 1 species